rnacentral:lncRNA from 1 species
GUGUGCAAUCUAUGCAUUUAUGUGGGCCCCAAACUCAGGAAGCCUCAUGCUUGGUUUAAUGCUCUGCUGUUGCCAUCUUGAAGGUUUUUAUAAGCUUCAACAAGGAUCUCUGCCUGUUCUUUUUGCUCUGGACUCCACAAAUUAUAUAGACUCUCGUGAUUGUGGCUAUUUUGUUCCCGUCUCUUCAGGUAAGUGGUUUUUGUUUUAAUUCAUCUCUAUUCUUUUUCAUUCCUCAUCAUGGUUUUCACUUAUCGACUUCCUGUGGUACAUCCUUUUGACUGCUUUUUAAAUAUAGGCAUAUUUAGCUCUGUUUAUUUCUCACAUCCUCCAGAAACCAUUUAGCAUUAUAUAGAAAUCAUAAUGGUCACCUUUGGAUUAGCCGUUCUGACUAAGGGCGGAGGAAUGAGAGAAUCAAUGAAAAUUGUAGUUCACACGGGGAGGACUUAUUUUGGGGAGCACUGUAUGGCUUUCAUCUUCUGGAGGUUUACCUUUUGUUCAUGUUUGCUCAGGUUAAUUGGUUUGCGCUCCCUGAAUACAUAGUAAUUGGUGGGGGGGGGGCCUGCUAAGUGGCACAGAUUAGCUAACCUGAGGUUAAAUAUCUCUGCUAAUAAAGGAAAUUGGUCAUUCUCACAUUUUGUGUUUUUAGACGUAUAAACAUGAUUUUUUUCGUGUGGUUUUUACAGAUUUACUUGAAGAGGUUUGUAGGAUGUAAAGACUUUCCUAAUAAUAUUCAGACCCCGUUUUUGGUUUUGACAAACCAAAUGGCCUCUUCUUCUCUUUUUACCUAGUGGCAGUCUGAGUAACUUUAUUUCAUGAUGCUAUUUGCCCGGAAACCUUUAAGUCAUUAUGAAGUCUGAUGUACCCCCAGGUUGACUCAGCUCCCCAGGCCCUGAUAGUGUUGGAAAUUGCGGUGACCGAUGGAAUAAAGCCUUAUCAGAGAAAAGAGUGUCCUAAAUUCUCUAUUUCUCUAACUUUCCUCCAGUUGGCAAUGCGUAAUAUCAAACAAGUAAAGACAUUUAAAAAACAAACAGACAAACCUGGAUACUCAAACUGCGUGUGACUCUGAAGUGGAAUCAGUCUGGGUUGCUGUCUGGAUCUCACCGAGGUGAACCCUUGCACACACUCCUGAGCUCUCAUGUUAAGGACACGCUUCCAGUAGCUGUCACCGUCCCUUUUGGGAACUUGGGAUCACAGGUGGCAACAUUGCUGACAUCUUUGUGUGUUGCCACACUUUUUCUUCUGGCUGAACGUUACAGGUGUGGAUUUGGGCAGCCCAUCAAUGUGUUGCAUCUGGAUCAAGAGAUCUCAAUAAGGGUUCCAUUAGGCCCUGAAGCCGUCUCAUUUCUCAGCCCUGUCUGGGCUUUGCACAUUCCCUCAUGAAAAAAGAGGGUUUGGCGAUUAUCAUCUCUACCUGUAGCUUCUCCUGGACAAAUGCAUCCCUUAUUAUGGUAGAAAUCUAGUCAAUAUAGCUGUCAGGGAGUUCCUGUCGGGGCUCAGAGGUUAAUGAACCUGACUGGUAUCCCUGAGGACGCUGAUUCAGUCCCGGGCUUUGCUCAGUGUUACUGGGUUAAAGAUCCAGCGUUGCCAUGAGCUGUGGUGUAGCUCACAGAUGCAGCUCAGAUUCCGUGUUGCUGUGGCUGUGGUGUAGGCUGGCAGAUGUAGCUCGGAUUCCACCCCUAGCCUGGGAACCUCCUUAGGCCAUGGGUUUGGCCCUAAAGAGACAAAACAUAAAAAAAUUUUUUAUUUUUUUAUAAAAAAUAAAGCUGUCAGAAUUCUUAAACUAUUGACA